GACGAACGCUGGCGGCGUGCUUAACACAUGCAAGUCGAACGAAGAGCGAUGGGAGCUUGCUUCUAUCAAUCUUAGUGGCGACCGGGUGAGUAACGCGUAAUCAACCUGCCCUUCAGAGGGGGACAACAGUUGGAAACGACUGCUAAUACCGCAUACGAUCUAAUCUCGGCAUCGAGGAUAGAUGAAAGGUGGCCUCUACAUGUAAGCUAUCACUGAAGGAGGGGAUUGCGUCUGAUUAGCUAGUUGGAGGGGUAACGGCCCACCAAGGCGAUGAUCAGUAGCCGGUCUGAGAGGAUGAACGGCCACAUUGGGACUGAGACACGGCCCAGACUCCUACGGGAGGCAGCAGUGGGGAAUCUUCCGCAAUGGACGAAAGUCUGACGGAGCAACGCCGCGUGAGUGAUGACGGCCUUCGGGUUGUAAAGCUCUGUUAAUCGGGACGAAAGGCCUUCUUGCGAACAGUUAGAAGGAUUGACGGUACCGGAAUAGAAAGCCACGGCUAACUACGUG
rnacentral:rRNA from 1 species